AAAGGAAAGAAAUAGGCCUUCUAUUCCUGGUUUUUCCCAGAGUUGGGAAAAGCUGGGUUGAGAAAGCAAAUAAAUAAAUAGA
rnacentral:pre_miRNA from 13 species